CAGCCGCCACGGUAAUACGAAGGGGGCUAGCGUUGCUCGGAAUGACUGGGCGUAAAGGGCGCGUAGGCGGUUUGUACAGUUGGAUGUGAAAUUCCUGGGCUUAACCUGGGGGCUGCAUUCAAUACGUGCAGGCUUGAGUGUGGAAGAGGGUUGUGGAAUUCCCAGUGUAGAGGUGAAAUUCGUAGAUAUUGGGAAGAACACCGGUGGCGAAGGCGGCAACCUGGUCCAUUACUGACGCUGAGGCGCGAAAGCGUGGGGAGCAAACAGGAUUAGAUACCCCUGUAGUCCCUGUCUCUUAUAC
rnacentral:rRNA from 1 species